AUGCAUAUAAAUUUUCAAUUGGGUUCUCUGUUAAUUGAAGCGUGAACCCUAGCAAAAUAACUACAAUUUGUAGAUAUCUAAAUGAAAUUUCAGAAAAAAAAAGAUGGCAUUUUUCUACUAGAAAUCUCAGUUACAUUAACUCUCCAUACAACAAGCUGACAACAAACUUAAGGAAGGGAAGAAAAAAAAAAGAAGCAAGCUCAUCAUCAAUUUUUGAAAGGAACGAUUUUACCACUUAGAUCUAAAUGAUGUGAUUCAGGCACAAGAUUUCCUUGAGCAUCAUACUCAAUCUUCCCAGAGAAAUUGAGCGGACGACACCGUUCACCCAUGAUGAUCGUCUUCCUCCAAACUGCUUCUUCACUUUCAUAAUCAUCAUCAUCAUCUUCUUGCAUCUUCCUCCAUGAAAUCAUCUUCACCAUCAAAUGAGCCUUACUGCUGAUGCCACUAUUAAGCUUAGACAGAAGUUUUUUCUCACUGGAUUCCGGAUCCUUUGCUCUAUCUGAUUUCUUGCUAUUGUGCGAAGAACACAGAAACAUGACAACAGAAAACAAACUGAACACUGCUAUGAUGAGGACAAGAGAAGAGCAGAGAGGGGUUGCUGAAAAUGGAAGGUUUUGCUUAGGAAGAAGGAUAAAGAUAUUCCUUGCCAUGAGUUAAAAGAAGAGAAAACAGAAGGGAACUCAGGGUUAAUUAAGCUUUGUUUGGAUAGAGGUGAUUGGCACGCACAAUAUACCACGCAGGACGUUUACGACACGUUCAGAUUUGACUUGACCGCUGACUCCUUUUUGGGUCUUCGCUAAAGGUUCAUGGUCACUAGUCAGUCCUAUAACAACAUUAGUAGUUUUGAU
rnacentral:misc_RNA from 1 species